CCUACGGGGGGCUGCAGUGAGGAAUAUUGGUCAAUGGGCGCGAGCCUGAACCAGCCAAGUAGCGUGAAGGAUGACUGCCCUACGGGUUGUAAACUUCUUUUAUAAAGGAAUAAAGUGAGGCACGUGAGCCUUUUUGUAUGGACUUUAUGAAUAAGGAUCGGCUAACUCCGUGCCAGCAGCCGCGGUAAUACGGAGGUUCCGAGCGUUAUCCGGAUUUAUUGGGUGUAAAGGGAGCGUAGAUGGGUUGUUAAGUCAGUUGUGAAAGUUUGCGGCUCAACCGUAAAAUUGCAAUUGAUACUGGCAGCCUUGAGUACAGUUGAUGUAGGCGGAAUUCGUGGUGUAGCGGUGAAAUGCUGAGAUAUCACGAAGAACUCCGAUUGCGAAGGCAGCUUACUAAACUGCCACUGACAUUGAUGCUCGAAAGUGUGGGGAUCAAACAGGAUUAGAUACCCGAGUAGUC
rnacentral:rRNA from 1 species